rnacentral:rRNA from 1 species
GACGACCCUUUGAGGGGUGCUUAGCACUUGCAAGACUAACGGAAAGGCCUUUUCGGAGGUACUCAAGUGGCCAACGGGUGACUAACGCGUGGGUGAUCUCCCCUGUGCUCUGGGAUAAGCCUGGGGAACUGGGUCUAAUAACGGAUAGGACCGCACUUUAUUGUGCGUGGUGGAAAGUUGUUGCGGUUGAAGAUGAGCCCGCGGCCUAUCAUCUUGUUGGUGGGGUAAUGGCCUACCAAGGGGGCGAAUGGUAGCCAGACUGAGAGGACGGUCGGCCUCAUUGGGACUGAGAUACGGCCCAGACUCCUAUGGGAGGCAGCACUGGGGAAUAUUGUACAGUGGGAGCGAGCCUGAUGCACCGACGCCGCGUGGGGUAUGACAGCCUUCGGGUUGGAAUCUCUCUUUCGCCUGGGACGAAACGUUUUGUGACGGUACCUGGAAAAUAAACAUCGGCUAACUACGUGCCAGUAGCCGCGGCAAUAUCUUAGCUGUAAGCGUUGUUUCUUACUUACUGGGCGUGCCUAGCUCGUUACGUGGUUGGCCCCGUCGACUGUGAAAUUCCACAGCUUAAUUGCGGGCGUGCAGGCGAUACGGGCUGACUUGAGUACUGUUGGGGUAACUGGAAUUCCUGGUGUAGCGGUGAAAUGCGCAGAUAUCAGGAGGAACACCGAUGGCGAAGGCAGGUUACUGGGCAGUUACUGACGCUGAGGAGCGAAAGCAUGGGUAGCAAACAGGAUUAGAUACCCUGGUAGUCCAUGCCGUAAACGGUGGGCGCUAGGUGUAGGGGCCUUUUGGGGUUUCUGUGCCGUAGCUAACGCAUUAAGCGCCCCGCCUGGGGAGUACGGCCGCAAGGCUAAAACUCAAAGGAAUUGACGGGGGCCCGCACAAGCGGCGGAGCAUGUGGAUUAAUUCGAUGCAACGCGAAGAACCUUACCUGGGCUUGACAUACACCGGAUCGCUGCAGAGAUGUAGUUUCCCUUGUGGCUGGUGUACAGGUGGUGCAUGGCUGUCGUCAGCUCGUGUCGUGAGAUGUUGGGUUAAGUCCCGCAACGAGCGCAACCCUUGUCUUAUGUUGCCAGCACGUUAUGGUGGGGACUCAUGAGAGACUGCCGGGGUUAACUCGGAGGAAGGUGGGGACGACGUCAAGUCAUCAUGCCCCUUAUGUCCAGGGCUUCACACAUGCUACAAUGGCCGGUACAAUGCGCAGCGAGCCUGUGAGGGUGAGCUAAUCGCUUAAAGCUGGUCUUAGUUCGGAUUGGGGUCUGCAACUCGACCCCAUGAAGUCGGAGUCGCUAGUAAUCGCAGAUCAGCAAUGCUGCGGUGAAUACGUUCCCGGGCCU